GGUUAAGCGACUAAGCGUACACGGUGGAUGCCUAGGCAGUCAGAGGCGAUGAAGGGCGUGCUAAUCUGCGAAAAGCGUCGGUAAGGUGAUAUGAACCGUUAUAACCGACGAUACCCGAAUGGGGAAACCCAGUGCAAUUCGUUGCACUAUUGCAUGGUGAAUACAUAGCCAUGCAAGGCGAACCGGGGGAACUGAAACAUCUAAGUACCCCGAGGAAAAGAAAUCAACCGAGAUUCCCCCAGUAGCGGCGAGCGAACGGGGAGGAGCCCAGAACCUGAAUCAGCAUAUGUGUUAGUGGAAGCGUCUGGAAAGUCGCACGGUACAGGGUGAUAGUCCCGUACACAAAAAUGCAUAUGUUGUGAGUUCGAUGAGUAGGGCGGGACACGUGACAUCCUGUCUGAAUAUGGGGGGACCAUCCUCCAAGGCUAAAUACUCCUGACUGACCGAUAGUGAACCAGUACCGUGAGGGAAAGGCGAAAAGAACCCCGGCGAGGGGAGUGAAAUAGAACCUGAAACCGUGUACGUACAAGCAGUGGGAGCACCUUCGUGGUGUGACUGCGUACCUUUUGUAUAAUGGGUCAGCGACUUAUAUUUUGUAGCAAGGUUAACCGAAUAGGGGAGCCGUAGGGAAACCGAGUCUUAACUGGGCGAAUAGUUGCAAGGUAUAGACCCGAAACCCGGUGAUCUAGCCAUGGGCAGGUUGAAGGUUGGGUAACACUAACUGGAGGACCGAACCGACUAAUGUUGAAAAAUUAGCGGAUGACUUGUGGCUGGGGGUGAAAGGCCAAUCAAACCGGGAGAUAGCUGGUUCUCCCCGAAAGCUAUUUAGGUAGCGCCUCGUGAACUCAUCUUCGGGGGUAGAGCACUGUUUCGGCUAGGGGGUCAUCCCGACUUACCAAACCGAUGCAAACUCCGAAUACCGAAGAAUGUUAUCACGGGAGACACACGGCGGGUGCUAACGUCCGUCGUGAAGAGGGAAACAACCCAGACCGCCAGCUAAGGUCCCAAAGUCAUGGUUAAGUGGGAAACGAUGUGGGAAGGCAUAGACAGCCAGGAUGUUGGCUUAGAAGCAGCCAUCAUUUAAAGAAAGCGUAAUAGCUCACUGGUCGAGUCGGCCUGCGCGGAAGAUGUAACGGGGCUAAACCAUG
rnacentral:rRNA from 1 species